AUGAUUCGUCGCUUCUGGUGGGGUGCGGAAAAAGUUAAACGGAAAACACACUGGGUCAGCUGGGACUCUAUGGUGAGACCUAAAGGAAAAGGUGGAAUGGGGUUUAAAGACCUUCGAGCGUUCAAUCAAGCCCUCUUAGCACGUCAAGCCUGGCGUCUUAUUCAGUUUCCGGAAAGUCUCUAUGCAGAGGUUCUACGAGCCAAGUACUAUCCGGAUGGGUCCAUUCUUGACACUGUCUUUACCGGGAACGGAUUGUCAACAUGGAACGCCAUUGAGCAUGGCCUGCAAUUAGUGAAGCAGGGAUAUGUUUGGCGGGUGGGAAAUGGUACUGACAUACGUAUUUGGCGUGACCCGUGGUUGCCGAGAGGGCCUCCCUUUAAGCCAAUCACGCCGAAACGACGGUGCCGACUGAAAUGGGUGGCUGACCUUCUGAAUUUUGAUGGGUCCUGGAACAUUUCACUCCUCAGACAAUACUUCUAUCCGGCUGAUGUUAUAGAGAUUCUGAAAAUAAAAACCUCUCGCCGAGGGGAGGCUGAUUCUAUUGCUUGGCAACCAGACAAGCAUGGUCGUUUCUCUGUGAAGUCAGCGUACAAUUUUGCAAGGGAUGAUAUCUUGGCUCGAAAGGGGACUGCUGCGUGUAGUACUCGCCCUGAUGGCUCAAGGCACUACCGGAAUAAUCUUAUAUGCCUACGGCCUUAUCUAUGCCGACGGCUGCCAUAG
rnacentral:rRNA from 1 species